CGGGGGGCCAAUCUCGAACUCGUAGCCCUCACGACGCAUGUUCUCAAUGAGGAUACCCAGGUGCAGAGUACCGCGGCCAGACACCACGAACGAGUCCGAGGUCUCACCGGGCUCCACGCUGCAAACACAAGAGCCAGGCAAUAGGGGGUCAAUGUGAUGUUCACAAAGAAGCUAGACGCGGUCCAGCUCCUUGUUGUUCAACCAAGCCACCUUAGUCACGAACACCCCGCCUCAAUAGUACACGUGAGCGGUGUUUUGGAUGCUGACGACACCUAGCACGCUCGCCCCGGGCAUUUGUGCGCGCCUGUCACGGCCGCUGCUCCUGGGUGUCUCACCGCAGCGCCAGGUUACGCUCCAGCUCGCGAUCCAGGCGGUCCUUCAGGUUGCGCGAGGUCACGAACUUGCCCUCCUUGCCGGCGAAGGGCGAGGUGUUGACCUUGAAGGUCAUGUUCACGGUUGGGUCCUCCACCUGAAGCGGGCGCGCAAAGAGCCGCAGGCGCGGGGCGCAAGGUCAACUCCUGUCGUGAAUACCAUGCUUUACCCAGGCGCCUGCCCUUGCAUCGUGCAACCCAUGGACCUCUGUUCUGUGGAAAAGCUGACAUCAUGGCAACAAGGGUGUGCUGUAUCUAGAGUAUAGAUUGUGGGCUGUACG
rnacentral:lncRNA from 1 species